GGCUUCGUAGGUCAGCUGGUAGAGUGCUUGCCGCGUUGAGGCACGGUGUUUUUGACGCUGGUUUAAAUCCAGCCGAAGUUC